AUCGCUUCUCAGCCUUUUGGCUAAGAUCAAGUGUAAAAGGUUACAUGUCAACUUACAUCAAUUUAAAAUUUGUUAUACAUUUGAAAACAGGACAAAGAAACUUAGUGUUUAGUGAAAAACAUAACCUGAACCUCCUUUCAAACCAUUACUGCAUUGCUUUGCCUCAGCACUCAGUAAAUUUUUA